UUUGUUUUUUGUUUUUUUUUUUUUUUAAAUUUAGGAAUAUCUUGUUCCUAAGCACGUAAAUUCUUAGUCUUCAUUCUAAUAGUGCCUAAUUAUCAGAAUCUAGCUGUUGAAGCUGUUCCUUCAGCCCUCUAGUGGUAAAAGGACUAGGUAAAUUACUAGAAUUGCAGUCAAUUUUUAUGUUCUAUUGGUGUUGCAGAUUUCACUGUGAAAAUAAAAUCACAAGAUGAUUUGCAGUUACUAUAUAGGACUACUCCAUGGCUGGAAAUUUUUCUGCUCUGUUACAGAAAGAUUAAUUUAUUUCCUCCAUCCUGCCUUUCCUGUCUAAAAUCUAGUUCAUUUUUAGUAUCAGCAGAUAGAUUGUUAAAAACACCCCAACAAACGAAUAAAAAUCCACCCAACAGCAAAUGCCUUUUAAAUCAUGAAAGCAGUGAUAUUACUUUUCUUUUUCUUUUUUUUUUUUUUUUUUUUUUUCUGGAGAAAUUUCUGUGGAGAAAUUUAACAGCAUUUAAUACAUUUAUCUUAAAAGUAAAUGGAGAUGCUUAUAUUCUUCCCACAUAUUACAGGAACAUCUGUUCCUCUGAAUUCCAGUACUGCUCCGUGAGGUACAUGCAGAGGAUCCCAAAGGACUGAAGCCAUCUGUCAUGUUCCACAGGCAGGAAUGCUCCUACCUCUGGGGCUCAGGCACACAACAGUUCUCUCAGUACCCAAGGCAGCUCUGCAACACUUGCCCUCAUCUUAAUGGUUGAGAUCUGCUGGGCCUUCACUAUGGACUUUUAUAGAAUUAUGGCUGAUGAUUCCAGGUGAUUCUUGGCAGAGCUGGAGGGGUGAUGACAGCGGCCCUGUGCUGUCCCUGCGUGCUGUGAGCAGCGAGCAGAGCUGCCUCUGUGUGCCCUGGUGUGAUCUGGGGAUCCCUCUCUGUUUGCCAAAGCCAAACACCAAAGUGCAGCUGGAAAGCUCUUACGAGACAAUGCUAUUUAUUCUGUUUUAGUGCCACAGAAACUUCUCAAUCUAUUAGAAAAAGAACAGCUGGAAGGAGGAAAGAGACAAAUGCCAAAGUCUCUGCUUGGACUGUGUUCCUACCUAGUAGAGCAAGAGGCAUAUCCCUGAAUAAUAUCCAGAAAGGAAUGCAGGAUCUGCCCAUCUGUAUGGAACUAAUUUAAAUGUGCCCAUGGCAUUCUACCAGCUGAGAAAGAUUCCAUAGAAUUUUCACAUCCUCUAUGCUCUCCUUUCAGAAGUAAUGCCAUUUUCUCAAAAAACUGUCUUACCAUUUGUUUGUUCUGAAGCCCUGUUGAGGUGUUUCUUAAAUAUUAAGCCUGCUUUAUCCAUGAAAAAUGUCCAUCAUGCUAAAGCCAAGCAAAGAUCUGAGAUGUGAAUAAAUAUGUAAGAAAAGGGAGGUUGCAAGCACAGUUUUGUUGCUGUUUGUCAGAUAUCCUGAGUUCACACCCCAGGGCUGCAGCCAGGUAAUUAACGUCUGCAACACUUAAGUUGCUAAAUUUAAUUGUCUGUUUUCUUGUUCUCUCACUUAAUAUUUUCCUGUAUUUCCACACUGUAUGUCUUACUUUGUACAUAAUUCCAAUAAAAUCACUGUUGCUAUUUCAGAAAAAA